rnacentral:pre_miRNA from 1 species
AUUGCGCUUUAAGACAGUGACAAAGGAAGAACAGACAUCACAGAGCGCUCUGUGGUGUCUGUUCUUCCUAUGUCGCUGUCUUAUAGCGCUCU